GAUGAACGCUGGCGGCGUGCCUAAUACAUGCAAGUCGAGCGAACAGACGAGGAGCUUGCUCCUCUGACGUUAGCGGCGGACGGGUGAGUAACACGUGGAUAACCUACCUAUAAGACUGGGAUAACUUCGGGAAACCGGAGCUAAUACCGGAUAAUAUAUUGAACCGCAUGGUUCAAUAGUGAAAGACGGUUUUGCUGUCACUUAUAGGUGGAUCCGCGCCGCAUUAGCUAGUUGGUAAGGUAACGGCUUACCAAGGCGACGAUGCGUAGCCGACCUGAGAGGGUGAUCGGCCACACUGGAACUGAGGCACGGUCCAGACUCCUACGGGAGGCAGCAGUAGGGAAUCUUCCGCAAUGGGCGAAAGCCUGACGGAGCAACGCCGCGUGAGUGAUGAAGGUCUUCGGAUCGUAAAACUCUGUUAUUAGGGAAGAACAAAUGUGUAAGUAACUAUGCACGUCUUGACGGUACCUAAUCAGAAAGCCACGGCUAACUACGUG
rnacentral:rRNA from 1 species